ensembl:lncRNA
AUAGAGUUAAAGUUUCUCUCGCUCGCCCCCCUCUCACCUCCUGUUCUGCAGCCAGGGUCCUAACAGGCCACGGACUGGUACUGGCCUGUUUCUAACCUCUGUUAGAAGUGUGAUCUCCAGCAGGCUCCUGUGGAAGGAAUGCGCCAGUAAAGGGGCGUUCCAGAGCCCCUUCCACUACCUCAGGAGGCAAACCCCAGGUCCCACGGCAUAGCAGAUGGAGGUGGGAGAGAAGCCAUUGAAGGUGGAGCUCAUGACAGAUGUGUAGGCGCCCAUGAACUGGAAGACCAGCCAGUCGCCCACAUCCAGCUCCGGCAGCUGCACCUCCUUCAAGAAGAGCUUGUCAAAGGCAUCACACGUGGGGCCAAAGAGGGUGCAGGGGAAGAGCGGCAGCUUGGGGCUGAGCUCCUGCAGGGACACAGGGGUGGGGAAUCAGAGAAGACCCCCCGCACACACACACCCCUACCCACUCCUCAUCAAGCAGCACAUGCCCCAGGGCACCAGCAGAAAGGACACUAUCAUCCACCAACACUGACCAAUUCCUGAAUGGUCCCUGUGUGCCAGGCAUUGCUCUUAACCCGCCCUCACGGAGCUUAUGCUCUAGAGACUGACUCCAGCCCUGCCAAUUCACAAGUGCAGACACAGAUGGGACCUCAGCUUUCCCAUCUAUAAAGUGGGAAGAUUUUAUUUAAUAAUCACUCAAAAUGCUGGGCCUCAAACCUAGCUUCACUGAAAGUGCUUGAGGAGUUUUCAUAGAGGAUCAUGCCAGGGUCCCAACCCAUGAGAAAUUCCGAUAUCAGUGGUGUGGGGCCUGGUCCAGGCAGAGAAGUAUUAAAAUUUCCCAG